GUACAGUCGCGCCGGUAGGGGCGCUGGAGUGCGCUAAUCAUGUAUGUGACACUGUAUCUCGCUGUAGAAUGAGAUGGAGUUUACACAUGGAGCUGUGUACAUUGGUUUGAGCAAUUAUGACAAUUUUACAUUUUUCCUCGGGACAAGCUGAUGCAGUUCUGAAAUCUGUCGUUUCAGAAGAUCAAAUAUCAUCUGAUGUCAAAGACACCCUAAGGAUUUUCUUGCAGAAGCUGACAGAAAAUGCCAGGAGUGCAGGCAAACGGAGCAGGGAGCGCUCACUGGAGGAGGCUUCACAGAUCCUGCAGAAGAUCCCAAAAGAAGCACUUGGUUCCUUACAGCCUGCUGCUCUUCAUCAAUUUGUUCAGCUUGUUUUGGCCUUGCAGUUAGAGGCAGUGACCUCUUCAUCCGCUUGCCGCAAAUUAGACCAAAUGCUGCAGGUCUUGGCUGAAAUAAACUACUCCAUAGUCUUUGAGGAGGUUAAACAAUAUCUGCUGAACCUUUUGCACCAAAACCAGGUGUUUUCAUUGAAAGAUCUUCAGAUAGCCUGUAUGUUCUUGGAGGACAGCACUAUGGGACGAGAGGUUCUCAAAGCAGAAUGCAGCACUCUGCUUAGUAAAGUUGCCGAGCUGAUUCCCGUUGUUACGUCAGAUGAAGCGACCAGAAAUGGGCCGCUGUGCUAUCAGACUGUCAAGGUUUGUUUGCAGGUGUUUCAGCUGCUGCCAGGUCAGGUGUCCCUGAUGGUCUACAGCAAGGAAAGUGCAAACAUGAGUUUGAGAGAUAUUUUGGAGUUCCUGAUGAGCGUUAUCUUAGGAGAGGGUUCCAGCAGAGAUAUACGUUUGUUGGCUGGCACUGCGGUUGCAAUGGUGCUCACCACAGCGACAGACAGUCAGUGUGCAGGAUCAGCUGCCUGGAGUCUGCUGCAAAUCACUAACACAGAACCGUGGAGAUUGACAGUAGGUGAGCUACAGGUGGACUGUCGUCCCAGAUGUCAGGACAGAGUGGACAGACUGGCUGUAUGCAGGGGGUUGUUAACUUGCUGCAGAAAUGACAUUCUUGUCAGUCACCAUGGCAACCAAGGGACUUGUCUUCUCCUGAAUGGGUUGUUCCCCUUCAUCUCAGCUCUUUGUGAAGAAAAGCUUGACUGUCAUUACUAUGUUUUUCAAGUGUUUACUAUUUGGCUGAAGAGGCUGAAAGAGUGCCUCAGUGAGGUUUGGGAAGUCACUGGUGCUCCUUUAGAUUCAGACCUCCAGCAGCACCUUACACAAAUCAUCUGGAGCAAUGCAGAGAGCCCGUUGGAUGGUGUUGCAGAGGUGGCACGUAGUGCUUUCUGUCUGUUUAUGGAGAUCUAUGAGAAGGAUUGUCUGCACUUUGAGAACACAGAGAAAAGACUUUAUGUGGAAUUAUUGAACAGAAUAUCAGAACUGCCAUGGGAAUCCAAAGCAAAAUAUUUACCGCUUACUGCAAUUCUGCCAUAUGCAGGAACAGACAAGGUUUUGGAACUGUAUCCAGCUCUUCCCUCUCACAUCCUAAAAUGCCUCUCCACCAAUCACCUUUCUCCAUGUGCCUCAGAAGUCUACAAAUCCCUCCUUCAGGAACAGAAACGCGAGCUUAUUAUAAAUGCAUCCCAAGAAGCCCCGCCCACUGAACAAGACUCAGCUUAUCGAUGGGCUCGGCGGUGGCAACCAGUCGUUCUGGAGGCUUUGACUUCAGAAUUAACUCUUCUUCAAAAUAACGCCUCUAGCCACCUUCUGCCCUCAACACUACGUAUAUUUCCAGGUGCUUUUAACACUCUGUUGUCAGCUCUGGACCCCGCGGUUCCCGGUCACCUUCACGCGUGGGCCUGUGUCAUGAGCGCCCAGCGGGCCACAAGUGGACAUUCCCUCUGGAGUGCAGACAGCCCCCAUGCUCUUAAGACUCUCCAUCUUGCCCUCUUCUCUCUGGAUGACAGCAUCCGGCUUGCAGCUCUGAACCUCCUCUGCUGCAGCCCAAAGACCAAAGAAGCCCCAUCACAAGUGGAGUAUUCUGCUCUGAGAGACUUCAUCCCGCUCAAUCUCAACAGCGAAUCGUCACCGUUCCGCCAGCACCUUCAGGCAGCGCUGAGGAAGUUCUUGAUGAGAAUAAGAGACAGUUGCAUGGCAAGCAUCAAAGGCCAUAAUAGUAAAAAAGGGCUCACGGAGGAUGAGGAGGCGGAGCUUAAACAAGGAGUCGAGUUUGUUGACUGGCUCUUCCAGCUGUCAUUGGUCUAUUUGACUCCUGACAGCAGCUACCAGAGGAAGAAGACUGUUCUGCUCCUGCUGUCUGCAGUGCUGGAAACAUGUACAGACACCUGGAGUCCAGACAGGAAGAAGGGACAACCACCUGCCAAUAUGUCUACUCUUAUAAACUGGGCUAAAGAGAGGGGAAAGUGGGAUUUCUUCUCAAAGUCAAAGAUGCUUGUCCUGAUUGGCUGUUUGGAGGAUUCCACCAAUGAGAUCCGUGAACUGUCUGCAGAGCUGCUUCUCAGAUUUUUCCCCUCGUCUCUCCCGGAUGAUGUCACAGCUGUACUGUUGAGCCGGGCAGAACGGCUGCUCCACAGCCCACGGGUCCAGGAGGCCCAGAUGGGGGCACUGAUGAUCAAACUUCUACUGCACAAGGUGGAUGGGGCAUUUGAACAUGGGGAGAAACAGUCAGUUAAACUGAUCACGUUUCUUCUCACCAAACUGGAGCACCAUUACCUCACUGCCAGGAAUGACAUGCUGCUUGCAGCUCGCACCACGCCUGUUCAUGGUGUUGUAAGCACUCUGCAGAGGGGCUUGCUGGAGGUGCCAGGGGUCCUAAUGGAGUCAGUAACCCACAGUGUUGCAGGAGACAUUGUGUCUUUAGUAGAAAAGCUCACUCUACUGCUGUUAGGUGUGCUGUAUGGGGACCAGGACACACGGGAGAAAGAUGUGCCUCCAUCAUUCUGUGACAUGGGGAAUGCAAUCAGUUCUCUGAUUGGUCAGGGUGGGGUUGAGGGGGCGGGACUCGAUGAGGAUGGAGAGGAGAAUGUGCUGCUCUCUGAGGAACAUAGUCUAGUGCUGACCUGCUGCUGGGUUUCCUUGAAGGAAAUGGGUAUUUUUCUGGGCUCCCUGGUGGAGAGAAUCCUGUCACUGCACUGUAAAGAACUGACUUUGAGUGUGGAAGAACUCAGGAAGGCUUCCAAAGUAUUUAAAGACAUCAUUCUGAAAUGUAGACACUGGGGGGCAGUAGAGGGCUGCUGUAUUGGCUUUACUAAGUUCUGCAGGGCUCUACUGAGCAGCUCUGAUCCGGAGAUCAGAGAGAUCCCGCCUCUCAUAUUAAAACAGGGCCUUUCUGUUCUCCAGUCGCUCCGUAGUACCUCAGUGACGAGGCGUGCUGCCGGUCUGCCCAUGCUGAUUUUGGGUGUCUUAGCUGCUGAGGACUCUAGCAAGACUCGCCCCCUUUUGGCACAAACCAUUAACACCCUACUGGACACAGCCAAAGCACCUCUUCCCCAGGACUGGGACCAAACUCUCGACUUACCACAGGUGUGUGCCGUUCACACCCUUCAAGCUCUGGUGAAGGGCUCCAGUCUGGGUGUAGCUGUUCUUCAGUACACCCCCGUGGUGGCCGUUCUGUCACUGACACUCCUCAGCUCACCAUGCUGGGCUAUGAGGAAUGCAGCCCUGCAGCUCUACAGUUCUCUGUGCACCAGAAUGUUGGGUCAGCAGCCUACCGGCAAAGAGGGCUCCGCUCAUUCCGGCAUGUCCUCUCCUUCCUUCUUUAACCUCUACCCAGCCCUACAGCCCUUCCUCCAGGGGGCGCUGGAAAGUGCAGCUACAGACCUUCAUGAUGCCACCCUUUUACUACACCCUUCCCUCUACCCUGUCCUCACCCUGCUCGCCAAACUACAGCCUGGUGCUGAGGAACAGACACGGGCUCUGUCGAAAUUCCUGCCUCCGCUCUUCCUCCUAGCUGCCAGCCCAGUCUAUGGCGUACGAGUGAUGUCAUCAAGAGCCCUAGUUGCUAUGAUACCACCAAGUGAAUAUCUGGCAACUGUCCUGCAGUUGGCAGAAAAGCUGCCGGAAUCACCGGACGUUGUGUGCUGUCACAACAGACUGCAUGGCCAACUCCUACAGAUAGGAGCCAUAUUGGCCCGGGCACUGAAAACUAACAUCAGUCGGCCAUCUCUCAGUGAGGUUGUGAGUGAGUUUGAGUCCAGACUGUGGAUGGCAUCUGUGAGGCAGCGGUGCCCGCUGGUGCGGCUGGCGUAUGUGGAUAUAGUGAGACAGAUAAGAGGCCAUUGCUCUGGUGCUUUCCUUACUCAGCUCUCUUCUCAACUGCUGCAGGAGAUUCACAGGACUCCAAACAUACUAGAGGUUGGCUCUGCUUCAUUCCACCAAAGUGCAGUGAACUUCCUGUGUGGGUAUCCUGAGUUGGCGUGUCAGGUAUGGCAGCAUCUGGCCAAUGGCAACGCAGUAGUACGUCUCUCAUUGGUCAAGUCUGCAACUGAGGGGCGUGGCUGGAGAGGAACUGUCCUACAGCGGGUUAUGGAGAGAGCGCUGCAGGCCAACCUGAAGAAGGCGCUGUUGCACCAGAACGUGGAGUACAGAGGAGCAUUCUUGACCGCAUUAGUUGAGGUUAUGACCCCUGAGGAAGACAGUCUUGCCCUGCCCCAUCCCUGUCCUUCAGGGUUUGAGGAGGCAUGGCUGCAGGAGUGUGUGGAGGUUCUGUUUUCUGAUCUGGAGUCAGACAGAGGAGGACCUGUGCUGAUCUCCACGGCUCUGUGUGCAGUCAGCCUGCUUCUUUGUCACAGUGUGGACUUGUCUUUGCUCCAGCGCUGGUGUAAGUUAUUAGAGAAGCACAGAUGUCCUGAAGCUCCUGAUGCCCUCAGAGCAGCAUGUGCACAGGCUCUGUGUCUGUGCGGCGUCCACGUAGUGACCAGGAGCCUGACAGGAGGCCUCGCGCUCAAAGAGCUCAGUACCAGCUUGAUCAGCACAGGUAUCUGCCUGCUUCAGGACGAGAGUCCACAGGUGAGAGCGAAGGCGGCUGUCUUUGCCUCUCUGCUCUGCUGUUCUGUCCGACGGCCGGAAGAUCCACAGAAAUGCUUCUACAUGCAGGUGAACCGGGCUCUGCACUCACUGCUCGACCUGCUCUUAGAGGAAUUCUGGGACACAAGUUGUGCUUUGGAGGCCUUAGUGUGCCACUUACCUGACUGUGAUCUGAAUGCUGUACUGAAGGAGGCCAAAGAGACAGAAUGUCGCAGUCUGUAUGAGCGAGAUGAAGCAAAUGUGUUUGCAGAGCCAUCUGUGAUCUCAGAGUGCCUGUUGCUACACCUAUUAAAUCUGGUUAAACAUUACCCAAAAUCCUCCACUCUCGCCAAGAACCUCGAGCGCUGGGCCCAAAACAGUGCAGCCAUUGUCAAAGAGAAUCUCACAAUUUGUAUGCAGCUACAAUUAGGUGAUGUCCUGAAUCCUGAUUGGCUGAGUUUGCUAAUAGAACCCCAUUUCCAUGGCGCUCUUUCAGGCCUGUUCACCAGGGCGAUUGUACUACUCCAGCUGCUCAAGGAGUGUGAUUCCAUCCAACUCCUACUUGACCCUUUGAGUUUAUCUAAAGACCUUCAGGACAUUCAUAGACGGUUUGCCCUAAAUGGACUCUUCCUUCCUCAGGUCUUCAUUGAUGCACUAAGGACAGAAUAAUCCAGGGCUGUCACAGAUCAGGGUUGCAUUAUUGCAGUCACAGGCUCUUCAUCACCAUAUUGAGUGGAAACUAUUCGAAAGGAAGAAUUACAGUCCUUUAUUAUGCAAUACAAGAGAAAUAGAAAACCUAUCUACGUCACUAGCAAAAAUCAAACACCAGUUCCAGCUCUGUAAGUGUAGCACAUCUAAAUGUGAAACGGCUGAAAGAUGCCAUUGUUUCUGGAUGGGUGGUGAUUUCUGAAAUAGAGCGCACUGCAGGCGGGGACAAACAGACUGAGGCGUCACAAAGACUCUGAGAAAAUGAAGUGCUGCUUUUUUUAGCUGAUUUGUGUUUUGAUAGCCAAUCUCUGCGACCUCAGAAGCUCAUUGGUUUUAUGUGGAGUGGUGGCUCAUGGUUCGCUGUGAAAGCCCAAACCGGUUUGAGCUGCCUCACACCAACCUCACAGCAUCUUCUGAUACACACACAGCAGCCACAAUUAACUCACUCUUUUCCUGUGAUUCAUUCUGUCUUGAUCCUUUCUUAUAUUCUUAUAUAUGGUACGUUUUUUUUUUUUUUAAUCAUUUUAUCCCACCGUUUUUAUAUUUUUACAUCUUUUUCUUUCUCCCUCUGUACCCCUUUCUCAUCCUCAUCGUGUCUUUGCAUAAGCCACUUCUUCUCAGGUUUCCACUGCAGGGGUAAAUGCAUCAAACAGUGAUGUAAUGGCUUUUGCGGCAACAGUAGAGUUGCCCUAUGAUAACAGCAGGGGAAUAGUGUCUGCUUUUUGCCACAUUAGAGGCUGUUCUCCCAGGUUAAGUGUCCAUUUUCUGCCCUCAGCACCAGGCUAGUUCAUGAUUCAUGGUUGGAAUAUGUACUCAGUUGCUGUGCAACGCUCCUGCGCGUCACAGGACACAGUGUUAGGACGCAGCUGGGUAUCCCAGUAGCCAUCAGUGGAGCAGAUGGUCUGAGUUUACAGCAGACGCUGAAAUGAUUCGCACUCCUCCAUGGAUGCUGCAAUUAUGCUAUAAAUGACAUAUUGAUUAUUUUAGAGUCUAGAGGACAUUUAGGUGGAUUUCUUGGGUGGGUGUUAUUUCAAAAUAUAUAAAAUCUAGGGGGAAAAACUAUUUUGAUAAAACAUGGCAUUCAGGAGUCAUCAAAUAUAACAUUUUGUAUUCAUUUUAGAAAUAUUCAAAACAAUGUUUUAGUAUUUAUUAUGAGAAAAGCAUUUGGAGAAAAUUUGUCUUUUUAUUUGAUUCCCCAUUUAAAAAAAAAAAAAACAAGAGCUCAUAACUUCCAAACGGGCUAUUUCUAUUUCUCUAUUAAUUCAAACUAUUUUAAAAGUGCGUUGUUUAAUGUGAGACAUCUGCUUGUGCAAAUUAAAUAUAUGGCAGUCCUUUUACAGGACUCAACAGCAAUCUGUUUAGCUUGGCUUUUUCCACUCAUUACUAUAGUAUAGUCUUCUCUAUACUAACCCACAUUUCACUUCCUGUUUACCUCGCAUGGAGAACCAGUGUUAACUGAAGAAAUAAGUUAAUCUGCCACUGGAUUGGUUAUUUAUAAUCACGGUUGUUAUGUUUGAUUUUAAUGACUAAUGGUAUAGUACUGUUAAUCCUUGGUUCUAUUUUGAAUUAAAUAGGAUGUUUUUAUCAUGUAUUCACUAUAUUGUUUUUGACUAUGCAUGUGUGUAUAGUCACAUGCAUAGUCCCCCCCUCUGGUUUUUAAACAAACUAGUCAAACAGCAUUUCAGAACCGGUAGAAUUUGUGGAACAAACAGGAGUAAUAGCUGGGUGUCAAAACAGCAACGACAUAAUCAACGAACUUUAAAACAAAGAAACACUGUAGUCUUUGAAUGCCUGAGAUCUCUCUCCCACUCAUCUGCCUGGGUGCACAACUCACAAAAAACGCUGCCAACUCAACUGGGGUUGGAAACUUUGUGUAAUUUCUUGGAAAAUUAAAGUGGGUCAGUUAACCUGGCAGGAGUAUUAUGGGAAGGAAGCAGGCAAUCUAGUCUCAUUAAAGUUGAUUGCUUACUUCCAUGCUUCAACAUGCCAUGAAAACCAUAAUUUCCAAAAUGUAAUAAAGUUCAAACCUAUCGGAUACAUCGAGAUGGCACCUAGAGAUUAAUGGUGAACUCUCAUUUUAAGCAGAAGUUUUGAAGCAGAAAAUGUGACACUGCUCUUCCUGUGCUGGACUGUGCAAAACAGAUCGUUACAAUAGUUAUGUACUGUACUUAACAAAGGCAAAGCACUUAAAACAAAGGGGAAUGUCAGUAAAGAGUUGUCCAGAAUGCACCACUGAGAAACCGACAAAAAGUGCAUGACUAUGAACAAACCAGAGAGGACAGCUGUUUCAGAGCUGAAUAGCUUACACCGAUUGUGUCACAUCACUAAUCAACCCUGCGUUUUCCUCCUUUUAAUAGCGUCUCCUCAGGGGACCCUCUGUUUCUUUGCAAAUAAUAGAGGCGCUCAUUGUUCCUCGAUCUCCUAAUGAAGUUCAGCUCUGUCAGAUUUACUUCAC